rnacentral:rRNA from 1 species
CCUACGGGAGGCAGCAGUGGGGAAUAUUGCACAAUGGGGGAAACCCUGAUGCAGCGACGCCGCGUGCGUGAAGAAGUAUUUCGGUAUGGAAAGCUCUAUCAGCAGGGAAGAAAAUGACGGUACGUGAAUAAGAAGCCACGGCUAACUACGUGCCAGCAGCCGCGGUAAUACGGAGGGGGCAAGCGUUAUCCGGAUUUACUGGGUGUAAAGGGAGCGUAGGCGGCAGCACAAGUCUGGAGUGAAAUGCCGGGGCUUAACCCCGGAACUGCUUUGGAAACUGUGCAGCUAGAGUGCAGGAGAGGUAAGUGGAAUGCCUAGUGUAGCGGUGAAAUGCGUAGAGAUUAGGAAGAACACCAGUGGCGAAGGCGGCUUACUGGACUGUAACUGACGCUCAUGCACGAAAGUGUGGGUAUCGAACAGGAUUAGAUACCCUUGUAGUC